GGAGGCGGCUCAGCCUGCUUUGCAAGCAGGGGGUCGUGGGUUCGAGUCCCAUCGUCUCCACCA
rnacentral:tRNA from 1 species